AGUGACGUCACCUCUUCCUGCUUCCUCCAUCUGGCGGGGCCACGUUCCUGCGUGUCCCCAACUGUCACCCGGGCGUGUUUGUCACCCAGACUAUCCCCAGAGCUUCCUCAGAGUGUUCCCAAGGUGUCCCUGGAGUGUCUCUAGUGACCAUGGAGACCCAAGAGGUGAUAACAGUGACACAAACCUGAGAAGAAUUUAUCAAUUGAUCAGGGGGUGUGAAAAAACAGGAUGGAACCAGGAGAAGAAAUCAAAUAUAUUGACCGGUAUCUACAGAAUGUCCCGCAGACAAGUCGGAGGUUAAAACCAAACAAGAGUUCCUGAAACAUCCAAACCUCCCAGGAAUAUUUGAAGAAUGUCUAAACUCAGGAAUGUGUUUGUAGCCCUGCGGUGGAUGCAGAUCUGGAGAACAAUGGGUUAAGUUACAGGCGAGUUGUUUGGCCCACUGCCAAAAUCCUUUAUAUCCCUUAUUAAACUUCUACAAUUUCCAAA